UCCAUGUCGUAGCCGCUCUAUCGGCAGGUU
rnacentral:sRNA from 1 species